rnacentral:rRNA from 1 species
CCGGAGCUUGCUCCACCGGAAAAAGAGGAGUGGCGAACGGGUGAGUAACACGUGGGUAACCUGCCCAUCAGAAGGGGAUAACACUUGGAAACAGGUGCUAAUACCGUAUAACAAUCAAAACCGCAUGGUUUUGAUUUGAAAGGCGCUUUCGGGUGUCGCUGAUGGAUGGACCCGCGGUGCAUUAGCUAGUUGGUGAGGUAACGGCUCACCAAGGCCACGAUGCAUAGCCGACCUGAGAGGGUGAUCGGCCACAUUGGGACUGAGACACGGCCCAAACUCCUACGGGAGGCAGCAGUAGGGAAUCUUCGGCAAUGGACGAAAGUCUGACCGAGCAACGCCGCGUGAGUGAAGAAGGUUUUCGGAUCGUAAAACUCUGUUGUUAGAGAAGAACAAGGAUGAGAGUAACUGUUCAUCCCUUGACGGUAUCUAACCAGAAAGCCACGGCUAACUACGUGCCAGCAGCCGCGGUAAUACGUAGGUGGCAAGCGUUGUCCGGAUUUAUUGGGCGUAAAGCGAGCGCAGGCGGUUUCUUAAGUCUGAUGUGAAAGCCCCCGGCUCAACCGGGGAGGGUCAUUGGAAACUGGGAGACUUGAGUGCAGAAGAGGAGAGUGGAAUUCCAUGUGUAGCGGUGAAAUGCGUAGAUAUAUGGAGGAACACCAGUGGCGAAGGCGGCUCUCUGGUCUGUAACUGACGCUGAGGCUCGAAAGCGUGGGGAGCAAACAGGAUUAGAUACCCUGGUAGUCCACGCCGUAAACGAUGAGUGCUAAGUGUUGGAGGGUUUCCGCCCUUCA